GAACAGGGAGGUGUCAGACUCCAUUUUCCCUCGGAUGAGCAGAAGGAAGAAAAGUGAGCAGAAUCGUACGUUACAGCAGUGGUCACCAACCUGUGGAGAGUCUUCACUGUGGAUCCCAGUAAAGCUCUGGACUCACUGGCUGAGGAGUGAGAGACAUCGACCUGCAGACACAGGGAGAGGAAGAGGAGUCAUGUUUCUGAGGAGGAGGAGUCGUCCUGCUGUGCUUCGUGUCA